AUUGAACGCUGGCGGCAGGCCUAACACAUGCAAGUCGAGCGGAUGAAGGGAGCUUGCUCCUGGAUUCAGCGGCGGACGGGUGAGUGAUGCCUAGGAAUCUGCCUGGUAGUGGGGGAUAACGUCCGGAAACGGGCGCUAAUACCGCAUACGUCCUGAGGGAGAAAGUGGGGGAUCUUCGGACCUCACGCUAUCAGAUGAGCCUAGGUCGGAUUAGCUAGUUGGUGGGGUAAAGGCCUACCAAGGCGACGAUCCGUAACUGGUCUGAGAGGAUGAUCAGUCACACUGGAACUGAGACACGGUCCAGACUCCUACGGGAGGCAGCAGUGGGGAAUAUUGGACAAUGGGCGAAAGCCUGAUCCAGCCAUGCCGCGUGUGUGAAGGAGGUCUUCGGAUUGUAAAGCACUUUAAGUUGGGAGGAAGGGCAGUAAGUUAAUACCUUGCUGUUUUGACGUUACCAACAGAAUAAGCACCGGCUAACUUCGUG
rnacentral:rRNA from 1 species